UCUUCCGCAAUGGGCGAAAGCCUGACGGAGCAAUGCCGCGUGAGUGAAGAAGGCCUUCGGGUCGUAAAACUCUGUUAUAAGAGAAUAACAAAUUGUAGAGUAACUGCUACAGUCUUGACGGUAUCAUAUUAUAAAGCAACGGCUAACUACGUGCCAGACGCCGCGGUAAUACGUAGGUGGCAAGCGUUGUCCGGAUUUAUUGGGCGUAAAGGGAGCGCAGGUGGUUUCUUAAGUCUGAUGUGAAAGCCCACGGCUUAACCGUGGAGGGUCAUUGGAAACUGGGAAACUUGAGUACAGAAGAGGAAUGUGGAACUCCAUGUGUAGCGGUGGAAUGCGUAGAUAUAUGGAAGAACACCAGUGGCGAAGGCGACAUUCUGGUCUGUUACUGACACUGAGGCUCGAAAGCGUGGGGAGCAAACAGG
rnacentral:rRNA from 1 species